rnacentral:rRNA from 1 species
GAUGAACGCUGGCGGCGUGCCUAAUACAUGCAAGUCGAGCGCACGGACGAGAAGCUUGCUCCUCUGAUGUUAGCGGCGGACGGGUGAGUAACACGUGGAUAACCUACCUAUAAGACUGGGAUAACUUCGGGAAACCGGAGCUAAUACCGGAUAAUAUCUUGAACCACAUGGUUCAAGAGUGAAAGACGGUCUUGCUGUAACUAAUAGAUGGAUCCGCGUUGCAUUAGCUAGUUGGUAAGGUAACGGCUUACCAAGGCAACGUAGCUUAGCCGACCUGGGAGGUGGACCGGCCACACGGGAACUGGGACACGGUCCAGACUCCUACGGGAGGCAGCGGUAGGGAAUCUUCCGCAAUGAGCGAAAUCCGGACGGGGCAACGCCGCGGGAGUGAUGAAGGUCUUCGGAUCGUAAAACUCUGUUAUUAGGGAAGAACAUAUGUGUAAGUAACUGUGCACAUCUUGACGGUACCUAAUCAGAAAGCCACGGCUAACUACGUG